GGCCUGGUGGUGUAUUGGUAUCACAUCCUCUUCAUCUCAUGUGAAGAUUUGUGCCUUUCAGAGGAAGAACCCUGUUCAAUUCGGGGCUAGGCCA